GAUCCUGGCUCAGAUUGAACGCUGGCGGCAGGCUUAACACAUGCAAGUCGAGCGGAAACGAUGAUAGCUUGCUAUCAGGCGUCGAGCGGCGGACGGGUGAGUAAUACUUAGGAAUCUACCUAGUAGUGGGGGAUAGCUCGGGGAAACUCGAAUUAAUACCGCAUACGACCUACGGGAGAAAGGGGGCAACUUGUUGCUCUCGCUAUUAGAUGAGCCUAAGUCGGAUUAGCUAGAUGGUGGGGUAAAGGCCUACCAUGGCGACGAUCUGUAGCUGGUCUGAGAGGAUGAUCAGCCACACCGGGACUGAGACACGGCCCGGACUCCUACGGGAGGCAGCAGUGGGGAAUAUUGGACAAUGGGGGCAACCCUGAUCCAGCCAUGCCGCGUGUGUGAAGAAGGCCUUUUGGUUGUAAAGCACUUUAAGCAGUGAAGAAGACUCCAUGGUUAAUACCCAUGGACGAUGACAUUAGCUGCAGAAUAAGCACCGGCUAACUCUGUGCCAGCAGCCGCGGUAAU
rnacentral:rRNA from 1 species